UUUUGUAAUCUAACGGACAUGAUCAUCUCUUAUUUAUAAGAUCCGACGUCAUCAAUCUCUUUCACCAAAAGGCGUCUCAAUCAACUGCUCUCUGAACGAGCACCCCUUAUACAUCCGCCUCUUUGCAAAGGACACCUCAUUUGCCUCCUUUCGGAUUCAACCCGUCUCUAAAAUCCAUCUAUAUAUUGAAGUUUCAGAUUUCUUAUCCCUUUGCAUAUUCCAUCAUCAUUCUGUCCAUUUACAUUGUCCAUCAUCCUCAUCCAGUUUUAGAUCACAGCCUUAAUAACAUCCAUAAGUGCAUCACUCACGCGUGUGCCUUGAAGUGGAGAAGUUUGGAGUUGGAAAAGAAGUAGAGAGACUCCAACGGUGCGUUUCUAUGGGAACCUGAUCUUUAUGAUGUCACAAAUCAUUAAUUUAUAAAUACAAGCAUAAUCUAUUCAUAAUAGAAGGUACGUAUUAAUGUAAAUUUCAUGCUUUUGAGUUUUGAGUGAUUAAAAGAUUCCAUAUAGUUGUGUUGUUCUGUUCCUCAGAAAGAAACACUGUAAAAACAGAUGAAGAAAGAAACCAACGAUGAGUUCAUAAAAAGUUGUGAUUAUAUUUUUUAGUUUCAUCAAUCUUGUAACAUGUGAAAGAAAAGCCUUCACGGAGAAGCAGAGAGAAGGACGAGUAAACGUCCUGGCAAAGAGUAAAUAUAAGGUUUUCCAUUGUUAGUUUAUUAUAAUUGAGUUUGGUAUGAUUAGAUAAUAAUUAUAAAGUAACUGUAAACCCAAUAGGUGCAUUUGUAAAGUCGUGAAUUGUUUGUAAAGUCGUGACUUGUUGGAAGAGUCACAAGUAGUUUUCUUUACGGUUACUUAAGAAAUAUAUGUAAGUCAUGUUGUCUUAUGUAAAAAGUGUCAACAAUAAAAGAUAAAUUUUCCAAAUGUA